AUUGAACGCUGGCGGCAGGCCUAACACAUGCAAGUCGAACGGAAGCACGGGGCUUGCUUCUGGAUUCAGGGGGGGAGGGGUGGGUAUGCCUUGGAAACUUCCCGGUCGUGGGUGAUAACGUGGCGAAAGUGGCGCUAAUACCGCAUACGCCCUGAGGGGGAAAGGGGGGGACCUUCGGGACCUCCGCCAUUCGCGCGGCCGAGGUCGGAUUAGUUAGUUGGUGGGGUAAAGGCCUACCAAGGCGACGAUCCGUAGCUGGUCUGAGAGGACGAUCAGUCACACUGGAACUGAGACACGGUCCAGACUCCUACGGGAGGCAGCAGUGGGGAAUAUUGGACAAUGGGCGAAAGCCUGAUCCAGCCAUGCCGCGUGUGUGAAGAAGGUCUUCGGAUUGUAAAGCACUUUUGGUUGGGAGGAAGAGCAGUAAGUUAAUACCUUGCUGUUUUGACGUUACCAAAAGAAUAAGCACCGGCUAACUUCGUG
rnacentral:rRNA from 1 species